UAAGGGGUGGGUAAGGACGGUGCCAGCCGCCGCGGUAAUACCGGCGCCUCAAGUGGUAGUCGCUUUUAUUGGGCCUAAAACGUCCGUAGCCGGUCUGGUGCAUUCGUGGGUAAAUCAACCCGCUCAACGGGUUGAAUUCUGCGAGCACGGCCAGACUUGGGACCGGGAGAGGUGUGGGGUACUCUCAGGGUAGGGGUAAAAUCCUGUCAUCCUGAGAGGACCACCUGUUGCGAAGGCGCCACACUAGAACGGAUCCGACGGUCAGGGACGAAACCUAGGGGCACGAACCGGAUUAAAUACCCGGGUAGUCCUAGGUGUAAACGCUGUGGACUUGGUGUUGGGGGCCCUCCGAGCGCU
rnacentral:rRNA from 1 species